AGACGGAGGGUGCAAACGUUGUUCGGAAUCACUGGGCAUAAAGAGCACGUAGGCGGUCCGCUCAGUCAGGUGUGAAAGCCCCCGGCUCAACCGGGGAACGGCAUCUGAUACUGGCGGGCUUGAGUAUGGUAGGGGUGAGCGGAACUCCAGGUGGAGCGGUGAAAUGCGUAGAUAUCUGGAGGAACACCGGUGGCGAAAGCGGCUCACUGGACCAUCACUGACGCUGAGGUGCGAAAGCCAGGGUAGCAAACGGGAUUAGAUACCCCGGUAGUCC
rnacentral:rRNA from 1 species